UGGGUCUCCAGAGAGCCACUCACCCCACAGUAGUCAUUUUCCUUAAAACAAGGCUCUCUGGGUACCCCGGGCAGCCCACCACUUGCCCUACCAACAGGAAUAUCCUGGAACACUACCCUCACCACUCCCACACACAGCAGUGACCUGAAUGCUUGCUUAGCACCAUCCCAGAUGUCAAGGUUCGAGGGCAAACGAAACGAGUGGGUUUGGAAACCCGAGGAAGCCAGGGCUCAUAAAGAGAUGAGGAAAUGGGGCCAGGGAUCGAGUGAAGGCACUGUCAUCCCCAAGCACAAUCAAACCGAGAAGGAGUUUGCCAGCCCAGCAGAUGAGUAAAACCUAAAGUUUGAGGAAGGGCAGAUGCUUCCUAUUGUGACUAGGGCCAGGCACGCCCAAAUCGUAGGCCACCUCAUGGUUUCCAAGAGGGAUUGGAGACGUAUAAAAGGUGUGCAGUCUCAGAGCAUCCCCAAAGCCUCAGCAUCUCCACGUUCCAGCCACUGGUGAACUCGGUGCACAUCCAGACCAGAAUGUAUCAUCAAACGCAGAAGCUGUGCUGCCCCCCACAAAAGUAUUGCUGCCCACCAUCCCAGCAAUUCUGCCCCCCAACAAAGUAUUGCUGCCCUGCACCACAGCAAUACUGUCCCCCAUCAAAGUAUUGCUGCCCCUCACCCCGGCAGUGCUUCCCACAACCAAAAUAUUGCUGCCCCACACCCCAGCAGUACUGUCCCCCUCCCCUGUACUACUGGCCCCCACCAAAGCGGUGCUAGACCCCCCUCAGAAUGCCAAGCAGCCUUGCCAGCCUCCACCCACGUGCAAGGUACCCUGUGUCCCCAAGUGCCAACACAAGUGCCCCCGCCCUCCGCAAUGCCUGAUGUCCAAGCAGAAGUCCUCCCUGGCCAUGGAGUCUGAGGCCAAGCUCCCUGGAGAACAGAGACCAUGAAGCCCAUUGUCCUCUCUCAGCCAGCCAGCUGUCAGCACCACUCUCCUCCGGCUUCUGGAGGCAGCCACACUCCGGGAAAAGCAGCACCAGGUUGGCAGCUUCCUGGAUCAAGAUUUCAUAUUAAUUAGCAGCUGCAAGUUCCAUCUCAGAAAAGGAUCUCUUUCUAAACCAUCUAAUCUUCUCUGCUGCCUUGUAUCGCCUUUGCCCUGUCACUUCUUGGAAACUUAAGCAGCGUGGCGCGACAUCCGUUCCUAGCACCCUUCGUUUCUGCUCCAGUUUUCCCAACUAUUACACACAAUUCCUUUGGCAUGAAUGUGUCUGUGCAUUAUUUGGUCAUCUUGCAGGUGUGAAUUCUUGCAGGGUUUCUAUCCUGCUCCUCAAUGCGGCGCCCUUGAAGGGCUGGGCAUGAGGGUCCAGGUAGAGGAAAAGGCACUGGGAGAUGCACUUUUGAGCUGAGGGACAUUUUCCAUGGUCCUGCCAGGGUGAGGAAGGAGAUGGGCACGUGUCCCUCAUGGGGCACAUCCCCACAUCCCUGGAAAAUGAGAACAGCCCUUGGAGAAAGGGGGAGAUUUUGCCCGUCUAGAAAACGGAGGUGGAGAAAGAGUAAGGGAAAAUCAGCCAGCAGCUAAAGAGUAGAGUAGAGGCAAAUAAAUGGAAAUUCAGAGAACACUCCAAGGGCGUGUGGUCAAAAUGAAUUGAGGACCGGGCCUGAAAAACUCUCCCAAUAGUAAAAAAAAGACCAGAGUUUCUUCAAGCUAAACAAAUGUGUAAGUAGAAGCCAGUCUAUGUAAAAAUCAUACCUCCAACGCACACACAUUUCCACUGUCAAUAUUUUAUUAAAGUCAGAGCCCCCAUUGUUUCUCCAGUUUAGGGUUCUCCAGGGCUAUAUUUGUCUCACUGGUCUCCUACAUUCCAUUCCCUAAAUCCUUGGGGCAUUAGGGGAACAUGAAACUUCAGGCCCAAAGGUAAGCCCAACUGCUUCUUUCUAUUAACAUCCACUACACACAUCCCUUUAGACCAAAUCCUUCUCUCACAGCGUAGUGCACAAAUUGAGGUCUUUGUUUCUCUUUCCUACACCUGCCUCCGGGCUACGAGGGAAUCACUGAAAACCCACAGAAGUACCCAAAACGAGCCAGAACAGAACAUCACAUAAACUAAAAGUGUGAAUUAACCCCAUCAUAGAUCGCAGCCCCUGUAGAAUUGAGAACUAGCUCAAGACAAAAGAUUUAGCAUCGCUUCCCUGCUGGCUGGUGUCUCCUUCCUCUGUCGUCUCUGUUCAUGCCUUUCAGCUAGGCUCCAUUCGUGUAUCUAUUUAUCCAUCACCGAUCCAUCCAUCCCCACCAGCAAUGCAUCCUUGCAUCCUUGGUAAGUACCUCCCCCUCCGUUUGCUUAGAAUGUGAUGUGUGCUGGGGAGGCACAGACUCACACACAGGGCUCCUGAACUGCUGGUUUAAUCCCCGUAUGAAGACCAAGCUGAGACCCUCAAGACAACAAAGCGAAAUUUUACCAGAUGACGUCUAGUUCACAGAUGACUUGGAAGCUACAGAUGUUUCAUUCCUUCCCUCAGAAUCCAGAGGAGACAGAGAGAGAACACUGAGGGCUCUUGAGGGAGGAAGGAGAACUUGGCCAUCUGUUUCGUCACGUCCUCCACCACAGGGCUCCCGGAAGAUGUCUGUCCAGGAAGAACCCCGGCAGAAGGGGGUUCCGAAUGGAAGGACAGGGGGAUGUGUGUAGGCAAGGAGGGGUACGUUCCAGGCCUGCGUACAGCAGCGGCCAAUGCGGCGAGUGCCAGGUGUUCCCAGGAGGACAGCCCUCCCAUGUCUCAGCCCCGGUCCCUGGUGGAGAGAGCACGUAGCCUCUGCAGCCACCGGCACCAGGUGAACACCACAGAAAGCUGGAGGGCGUGUGCAGUUUCCAGACCUAUGUGUCGUAAAUAUUUCCAACACAGCUUUGCAUUCAACAGAACCCAAGGAUGACACACCGAAUGAAUUGAAAAUCUCUAGACACCUUAAGUGAACUCCCUGAAAACGAGGAGCACUCUGAGCCAAUACCCCACUCUCAGAUACCUCAGUCCACACAGUCUCCAAAGAGCUCCUCUCUUGCCCCACAUACAUGACCUUGCUCGAGAACUCUCAUUUGGGUUCUUAUUCUCUAGUUCCUCACCCUCCCACAC